AAAGUUUUAGUAUAAAAUUAGUAUAAUUUAUUGUCAAUAAUUAGGUUUAAACUUUAA
rnacentral:tRNA from 1 species